rnacentral:rRNA from 1 species
CCUACGGGAGGCAGCAGUGGGGAAUAUUGGGCAAUGGGCGCAAGCCUGACCCAGCAACGCCGCGUGAAGGAAGAAGGCUUUCGGGUUGUAAACUUCUUUUAUCAGGGACGAAGCAAGUGACGGUACCUGAUGACUAAGCUACGGCUAACUACGUGCCAGCAGCCGCGGUAAUACGUAGGUGGCAAGCGUUAUCCGGAUUUACUGGGUGUAAGGGGCGUGGAGGCGGGAGUGCAAGUCAGAUGUGAAAACUAUGGGCUCAACCCAUAGCCUGCAUUUGAAACUGUACUUCUGGAGUGCUGGAGAGGCAAUCGGAAUUCCGGGUGUAGCGGUGAAAUGCGUAGAUAUACGGAGGAACACCAGUGGCGAAGGCGGAUUGCUGGACAGUAACUGACGCUGAGGCGCGAAAGCGUGGGGAGCAAACAGGAUUAGAUACCCUGGUAGUC